GCGACGUCCCGCUCUGUGAAGUAUUUUCUCGUUACCAGAGAAAUCACAAUUAACUGUAAUCGUCAUGCUUUAGCAAGUCACCGUUUAUUUUCAAAUCAGUCACAGGCCGUGACUGUGAUUAUAGAAUAUCAGUGACAAAGUCACAGUUACCGAUAUUUCACUCAUCACUAGAAAAUAGUGAAAAUGGA